GCCAUGGUGGUUCACUGACAGAGCUCUCGCCUUCCAUGCGGGAGAUCCGGGUUCAAUUCCCAGCCAGCGCA
rnacentral:tRNA from 1 species